rnacentral:rRNA from 1 species
UACGAAGGGGGCUAGCGUUGCUCGGAAUCACUGGGCGUAAAGCGCGCGUAGGCGGCUUUGUAAGUUAGAGGUGAAAGCCCGGAGCUCAACUCCGGAACUGCCUUUAAGACUGCAUCGCUAGAAUUGUGGAGAGGUGAGUGGAAUUCCGAGUGUAGAGGUGAAAUUCGUAGAUAUUCGGAAGAACACCAGUGGCGAAGGCGACUCACUGGACACAUAUUGACGCUGAGGUGCGAAAGCGUGGGGAGCAAACAGG